ACGAAGGGUGCAAGCGUUACUCGGAAUUACUGGGCGUAAAGCGUGCGUAGGUGGUUGUUUAAGUCUGUCGUGAAAGCCCUGGGCUCAACCUGGGAAUUGCGAUGGAUACUGGGCGACUAGAGUGUGGUAGAGGAUAGUGGAAUUUCCGGUGUAGCAGUGAAAUGCGUAGAGAUCGGAAGGAACAUCUGUGGCGAAGGCGACUAUCUGGGCCAACACUGACACUGAGGCACGAAAGCGUGGGGAGCAAACAGGAUUAGAUACCCUGGUAGUCCACGCCCUAAACGAUGCGAACUGGAUGUUGGGCACAACUUGGUGCCCAGUAUCGAAGCUAACGCGUUAAGUUCGCCGCCUGGGGAGUACGGUCGCAAGACUG
rnacentral:rRNA from 1 species